GUGGGUAGUUUGACUGGGGCGGUCUCCUCCCAAAGAGUAACGGAGGAGCACGAAGGUUGGCUAAUCCUGGUCGGACAUCAGGAGGUUAGUGCAAUGGCAUAAGCCAGCUUGACUGCGAGCGUGACGGCGCGAGCAGGUGCGAAAGCAGGUCAUAGUGAUCCGGUGGUUCUGAAUGGAAGGGCCAUCGCUCAACGGAUAAAAGGUACUCCGGGGAUAACAGGCUGAUACCGCCCAAGAGUUCAUAUCGACGGCGGUGUUUGGCACCUCGAUGUCGGCUCAUCACAUCCUGGGGCUGAAGUAGGUCCCAAGGGUAUGGCUGUUCGCCAUUUAAAGUGGUACGCGAGCUGGGUUUAGAACGUCGUGAGACAGUUCGGUCCCUAUCUGCCGUGGGCGCUGGAGAAUUGAGGGGGGCUGCUCCUAGUACGAGAGGACCGGAGUGGACGCAUCACUGGUGUUCGGGUUGUCAUGCCAAUGGCACUGCCCG
rnacentral:rRNA from 1 species